AGUGAACGCUGGCGGCAGGCCUAAUACAUGCAAGUCGAACGGCAGCACAGUGGAGCUUGCUCCAUGGGUGGCGAGUGGCGGACGGGUGAGGAAUACAUGGGAAUCUGCCCAGUCGUGGGGAUAACGUAUGGAAACGUACGCUAAUACCGCAUGCGCCCUUCGGGGGAAAGUCGGGGACCGCAAGGCCUGACGCGAUUGGAUGAGCCCAUGUUCGAUUAGCUAGUUGGCGGGUAACGGCCCACCAAGGCGACGAUCGAUAGCUGGUCUGAGAGGAUGAUCAGCCACACUGGAACUGAGACACGGUCCAGACUCCUACGGGAGGCAGCAGUAGGGAAUAUUGGACAAUGGGCGCAAGCCUGAUCCAGCCAUGCCGCGUGAGUGAAGAGGACCCUCGGGUUGUAAAGCUCUUUGUUGGGAAGAAAGCAG
rnacentral:rRNA from 1 species